rnacentral:rRNA from 1 species
AUUGAACGCUGGCGGCAUGCUUUACACAUGCAAGUCGAACGGUAACAGGUUAAGCUGACGAGUGGCGAACGGGUGAGUAAUGCAUCGGAACGUGCCCGAUCGUGGGGGAUAACGCAGCGAAAGCUGCGCUAAUACCGCAUACGAUCUGAGGAUGAAAGCGGGGGACCGUAAGUCCGCGCGCGAUCGGAGCGGCCGAUGUCAGAUGAGGUAGUUGGUGGGGUAAAGGCUCACCAAGCCGACGAUCUGUAGCUGGUCUGAGAGGACGACCAGCCACACUGGGACUGAGACACGGCCCAGACUCCUACGGGAGGCAGCAGUGGGGAAUUUUGGACAAUGGGCGAAAGCCUGAUCCAGCAGUGCCGCGUGCAGGAAGAAGGCCUUCGGGUUGUAAACUGCUUUUGUACGGAGCGAAAAGGCUCUCUCUAAUACAGGGGGCUCAUGACGGUACCGUAAGAAUAAGCACCGGCUAACUACGUGCCAGCCGCCGCAGUAA